UAUUUUAUCUUCUAUAUCCACCUAUUCUUUUUCUUUUUAUCUUUUUCUCAUUCCUUUCCUUAUCCCUACUCCUAUUUUUAUUCUCAUUCUUAUUAUUUGUUUUCUCAUUCUUAUUUUAAUUCUUAUUCCUAUUCCUUUUCCUGUUCUUUUUAUUAUUUUUUUUUAUUUAUUUUUCUUCCUUUGUUUCCCUGUUCAUACUCUUUUCAUCAGCAGUGUGCCCUACUCCUUGGGCUGUUGUCCCAGGCAGGGGAAGCAGAGCAGGCUGCUCAGCGUCCGCAGCGCCUGUGGUGUCCCGGCCUGUGGUGUCCCGGCCUGCGGCACCUGGUCCUGGAAGGCAGGAGAGGCCGUGUGUCCUUUGGGGGCUUCCACACGGUGAGGAGGACUUCUAAGGUGUCUGCAAGUGGCUGUGUUGCUGUUAAAUUUAAUGGGCUCCAGCUGUGCAACGGCAUUAUCACUAAGAAAGAAAAAAUCACUAGAAGGAAAAGCCAGGAAAACACGAUUAUUUUUUUAUUGCAUUCAGAGUGA
rnacentral:lncRNA from 1 species